ensembl:processed_transcript
CAAGUCUGUCACUUCAAAAGGGCAAACAUGCCACCACACCAAGCUGUGAUUUUUCACCUUGUGCAAUGGAGUCGCCCUGAGAGUCUACAACAAUUCAUCUUAUUUCUGUAAGAGAAGAAUGAAAAUAUCUAACCACCAAGAGAUCAUUUGAAGAUACAUGAACAUCCACGUGCCAGGAAGUAGAGUUCAAGAGUUGUGGUCGAGCUCUGCUUACCUUACAACUUCAGCUCCAGGGACAUCUCUCAAGUGCAAAGCAGGAUGCCAAGGUGGAGUUUGUCCUGUGGAUGCCAGCAGCUUCUCAGUUUGCUGAGAAAUAAAGAGUGAGGUUGAUUUCAGAAGAAAUGAUCUUCACGAUGCUAAGAACACAAGGCGGGAUUUCAAAGGAAGGAACUUAAAGGCCUCAGCUUCAUAUGACUGACCUCAGCUUCUCGUGACCUCACCUGGCUGACCUCAGCUUCUCGUGACCUCACAUGACCAACCUUGCUUCUAAGGAGUGGUGUGAGACCCGUGAAGCCCUUACCAUUCUAAGAAUCUGAUGAGUAAGAAAGGACAAACACAUGACAGGGGAGAACAGGAAAAGAAAUCUUUUCUUCAUCAAAAUGCACCUCUUGAGUCAGGAAAGACUCUUGUCAGAGUCUGGACAGUCUAAUAUCUAUGCACCUUCCAGCAGGUUCUGACUGGGAGCACACUGUAUUUGUGAAGGGAGGCUUUGACUUCAGUGAGCAGAAAGAAUACUGACCUGCAGAGGAUCUGUUCCCCCUACCCCUUACGCCCCCCACCUCUCCCCUCAGCUUUCCUCUAUCCCCCAUCCCUGACACACACAUAAGGUUCCUGGGGAAAUGUUGGGCAUUGGGCUAUGCAAAGACAGUCUGGUCUCCAGUCGAGCUGAGAUGUUGAACCCCAGGACCCAGUGGUGAUAAUUCACCUACAUGGGACAGAAGGAGUUCUCUCAUGUCUCCUGGAACUCUGGCUCCUGUCAAAGUUACCACCCCCUCAGCCCCCACAAAAGAAGCAUGGUUAGUACUCACAUAGGCAAUGUCCCAACCUUCUGACCUUUAGGCUAGACUCCUCCCCAGUUACCUAGCAACAGAAAAGAUAGCAACAUACUUUAAGAGGGGCUGUUUGGCCCCUCCUUGCUCUCUCACUCCUCUCUCUCUCCUCUCUUGCUCUCUUUGUUUUCUCCUCUCCUNNNNNNNNNNNNNNNNCCUCCUCUCUCUAGCCUUUCUUCACUCUCUCUUUUACCUUCUCUCUUUCCCCCUGCCUUUCUAUAAUACAGCUCUAAAACCUUAGUCUCUGCUCAUCAAGGCCCGCUGCGCAGACUCUUGCCUUUGUGGGAACCUCUCUCCCUAAGCCCUCUCUCCCAUAACCCCAGGACACAAUAACCCCAGGGCACAGGGUGUUGCUUCAGGCCCCUUGGUUUCGUGGGCUGCCCCUUGUCCACCCCCACCCCAGUCGAGUUGGGUCAGUGGCUAAGAUGCCCACCUGGGGCUGAGUGGAAAGCGUCUGACAACCCUCCCACAUCUGCCUGCCCAUAGCAUAGGUAGAACUCUAGCAAGAAAUGAGCUAUCCUCCCUCCCCACUCUUUUUCCAGCCCCUUUUUAGUUCCCACAGGGAAACAUUUACUUUGGCUGGUGAAGAACCUAAAUCUGAGAUAAUGGCACGAGUGAUGGGCCUCACAGCCAAUCAACUUUGAUUUUGAGGAGUUCAGCUAUGCUCCUUACAAUAAGACCAUCUCAGCUGUCUAGUUGAUGGUUUAUAUCCAUUUUACCUUCACAUAGAAGAGCAGGGUAUAGCUUGAGGCCCGAACAUCUGCCUAUGUCUGGCAACUCUGCACAUGGCCUAGAAAAAAAAAAAAAGGCUAGAAUAUACAGAGGCCAGAGAAGACUUGGGGACGGGGACUUCAUCUAUGCAGCUAUGGGUAGACUGCCAUCCUUGGGUAAGGUGUAGCGUAUGCCUCCUUUUGUGACUGUGACCUUGGUAGGAGGAGUAGACAUUGCUGAAGUCCCAUCCCUGGGAAGAAAUGCCUUCUAUUUAUCACAGCUUCACUCCAGCCUGAACGGUUUUAUUUUAGGAGAUUUCCUUUAACCUUUCUCAUUACUGUCCUCACCUUUGCUCUUUCUCAAACUGCAUUGUCAACCUGUAUGUCUACUGCAUACAAGUGUAAAUUGAUUGGAAAUCUCCCCCUCCCAAGACCCCCACACAAUAUAUACUUGACCUAUAUAGAUGAUUCAAUAAAUAUUGGUUGAUUUAAUAAUCAUUAAAAAGCUAA